rnacentral:lncRNA from 1 species
GUCAGCGGACUCUUUGAGACAGUGAGCUACUCAUGGGGACUCUUCCAUCACCUUUCAUGCUUCUGGGGAAAUUUUCGUGACUGUUCUGAAGAUGCCUACCUCAGUUCCCAACAAGGCACAGUAGUAACAUGGUACAUAGCAAUAGAACACCGUGGUCAGGAUGGAUUGAGAUGGCACAGACUGGCCAGUUCUCAGACGGCUAACUAGAUGAACUUCAAAGCCCUGGCUUUCAACUUUGGCUGCCUGCAAGGAUUCUCAAUCAACCCCUACCUCACCCUCACGUUGAAAAUACUGCUGAUAGAUACUUAAAGAGUCAUCCGUGAUUCUCACACUGGCAUGGUAGCAGCUUUACUGACCCCCCUGGGCAGUCUACUAUGUGCUGUGGGAGCCAAGCCCACUAAAUGUCUACCUUCCACCUACCAAACCCAUCAAGAUGAUGACAGUCUCAGAGUCCAUCCCUUGUCUUCACUGCCUGGGCUCCACAGCUUGCUGUCUGUCAUGUUCUGUUAGCCUGACAGACAGUCCCUCUGAUGGAGGCAGUCAGAGGGCCAUAAGUCCCUCCCUGCCCCUGUGGCUCACUCUCACCUAGGAUAAACCAACCCUGAAGUGCAAACAGAUGCCGUGUGGACCUGGGAUGCCCAUUUCCACUGGACAAAGAGCAACCAGUUUUAUUAUUUGUGAAAGUAACUACUGAGAAUGAAGUUUGGCUAUUGAAGUUCAUAGCAUACCUUUGAUUCUCUGCAUCUUUGGGGUCUAUAUCUGUGGAUUUAACCAACAUAGACAGAAAAAUACUUAAGGGCUGCUUCUACAGCUUAGUGAUAAAGUACUUGCCUAGUGUACAUGAGGUUCAAGCUUCAGCAGGCUGCUAUACUUAUACACACAUACAUCUAUAAUGUAUGUGCCUUUAAUUUAAUGCAUGGGUGUUUUGUUAUUAUUUCCUAAAUAUUAUAGUGUAACAAAUAUUUAUAUUGGCAUAAACAGGUUAUGUAAGCUAGGGAUGAUGUAAGGCAUAAAAGUAGCUGUACUAGGUUAUAUGCAAACACUGUUCCUUUAUAGCAGAGACCUGAGCAUCCACAGACUUGGGAGCAAUCCUCACAGAACCACAUGACAGCUACAUAAGCAUACAGAGCUAUAGACUCACCAUAUAGAGGAACCAUGUACAUGUCGGGUAUAUUGUUCUCCGAGGAACAUAUCUCAUUUAAAAAUUGUGCUUGAGAAUGAGGCACUACAAAUUCCCUCCCUAACGCACUCUGAUUCCCAGUUGGAGGACAAGAGUCAUUUUUUUUAAAGCAUGGUUCCAGACAUUGAGUCACAGGAGUAGGUGUCAUGGGUGAGAGCUCCUUGUGUCCAGCUGACUGCCUCCUCCCACUUUUCCUGUGAUUAACAUCCCCAUCUGCCCACUGCAGUAAAUCUAUUUCAAGAAGCUUUCGGACAAGAAGUCAGCAAACCAUGGCCCACAUGGCUGUCUUUGUAAAUAAAGUUUUAUUGGAACAGGGCCA